GGACGUGAGGGCGAUAUCUGUCGCCCCACUGAUCGCCAGGGUUGAUUUGGCUGAUCUGGCUGGCUAAGCCGGUAUCCCGUUCCUUCCUCACCACUCCAUGUGGGUCCCUCCUAAAGCUGCGUGCUCAGUCGAAGAGGACGACCUUCCCCGUAUAGAGGAGGACUGGUCAAGGUUACACAAGUAGCUGUGCUUCCCUGCUGGAACCUCCAAACAAGCUCUCAAGGAAGACACCCAGCACCGACCUCUGGCCACUGCAUGUCCCCACACAUACAUGCACCCACACACAU
ensembl:misc_RNA 7SK 7SK RNA